rnacentral:lncRNA from 1 species
AGUGACCCAUGUUUCAGAAAAUCCCAUCUUCCGCAUCACAGCUUCGAUAAACGACCAUUCCAUCCUAUCAUAUGCUUUACUCAUGUCUGUUUUGAUGGUCAUCCUCUUAUUACGUCCACUCGGUUUGAUUCGCAGGGCAUGGAACAUUUCUUGUGCAAUCAUGAUAUUAUCUGAUAUCUGUCUCCCCGCAACAAAGGCUGACUGGGUUUCUGAUAUCAAACCGGGUAACACUCUCUUUAGUCUCUGGCAUAAGACCUUAGAG